rnacentral:rRNA from 1 species
GACUAACGCUGGCGGCGUGCCUAACACAUGCAAGUCGAACGAGCAGCAAUGCUAGUGGCAGACGGGUGAGUAACGCGUAGAUAAUGUGCCCUCCCGCGGGGAAUACCGUUCCGAAAGGAACGUUAAUACCGCAUAACACCACCAGGUGGCAUCACUUGGUGUUCAAACUUCCGGGGCGGGAGGAGCAGUCUGCGUUCUAUCAGGUAGUUGGUGAGGUAACGGCUCACCAAGCCUACGACGGAUAACUGGUCUGAGAGGAUGAUCAGUCACACUGGAACUGAGACACGGUCCAGACUCCUACGGGAGGCAGCAGUGAGGAAUAUUGCGCAAUGGGCGAAAGCCUGACGCAGCGACGCCGCGUGGAGGAUGACGGCCUCGGUUGUAACGUACCUGUCAGUGGGAAGGAGGAGUAGGACGGUACCCGACUCGAGGAA